rnacentral:rRNA from 1 species
GUUGGGAAUCUUGGGCAAUGGGCGCAAGCCUGACCCAGCGACGCCGCGUGGGGGAUGAAGGCCUUCGGGUCGUAAACCCCUUUUAGGAGGGACGAAGCCGCAAGGUGACGGUACCUCCAGAAAAAGCCCCGGCUAACUACGUGCCAGCAGCCGCGGUAAGACGUAGGGGGCGAGCGUUGUCCGGAUUUACUGGGCGUAAAGCGCGUGUAGGUGGCCUGUUAAGUGGCGCGUGAAAGCCUGCGGCUCAACCGCAGGACGUCGUGUCAGACUGGCGGGCUUGAGGGUGGCAGAGGGUGAUGGAAUUCCCGGUGUAGCGGUGAAAUGCGUAGAUAUCGGGAGGAACGCCAGUGGCGAAAGCGGUCACCUGGGCCAUCCCUGACGCUGAGACGCGAAAGCUGGGGGAGCGAACGGGAUUAGAAACCCUUGUAGUCC